rnacentral:lncRNA from 1 species
GAAUAUAACACUAGCUGCCUGACACUUUAUUUUAAUUUUUUUGUUUAAUUCAGGUUUCACAGAUGUGCAAAAUUGGUGGGAAAAAUGUGAAGGACUGUGCGAGGAAAAUGCUGGACAGGGUUUUGUAAAAUUCCCUAAUGUCUUGUUUCAACAUGAAGGGGGUUGGUUUGCUGCAGAAGACAGCAUUUCAGGCAACCACACUGUUCUCAGUGAUUGCAGAUGCAGAGAUGACCAUCUUCCCAAAAGCUACAGAAUUUGAAAUAAAAAAUGCAAUCGGGGAGCAUUUUAAACAGGCACCAGGGAGAGUUGGGGGGGGUUGGGGGGGGUGGAUACAGGAAAAAAAUAAUUUAGUAAAAUAAUUGGUUCAUUUUCCUUUUUGAAUUUAUUUAUUUCCUUUUUUUUUACCGCAUUUAAUGUUUUCUAUUGUGACUGACAUUUCAAUGUUAGCUGUUCAAUGUUUACUUAUUGUUAAUGUUGCUUCUAUUAAUAAAAUCUUUAUUUAAUCAGUUUAAAUUUGCCAUUUACGAUAUCCUGUUAAUUAAGUAUUUGUGUUUUGUUGUCUAUUAAAUGAAGGCUAU